GAUGAACGCUGGCGGCGUGCUUAACACAUGCAAGUCGAACGGAAAGGCCCAAGCUUGCUUGGGUACUCGAGUGGCGAACGGGUGAGUAACACGUGGGUGAUCUGCCCUGCACUUCGGGAUAAGCCUGGGAAACUGGGUCUAAUACCGGAUAGGACGAUGGUUUGGAUGCCAUUGUGGAAAGUUUUUUCGGUGUGGGAUGAGCUCGCGGCCUAUCAGCUUGUUGGUGGGGUAAUGGCCUACCAAGGCGUCGACGGGUAGCCGGCCUGAGAGGGUGUACGGCCACAUUUGGACUGAGAUACGGCCCAGACUCCUACGGGAGGCAGCAGUGGGGAAUAUUGCACAAUGGGCGCAAGCCUGAUGCAGCGACGCCGCGUGGGGGAUGACGGCCUUCGGGUUGUAAACUCCUUUCGCUAGGGACGAAGCGUUUUUGUGACGGUACCUGGAGAAGAAGCACCGGCUAACUACGUG
rnacentral:rRNA from 1 species